rnacentral:lncRNA from 1 species
UCGAGCUUGCCAUCAAAUAAAGACAAUUUCCUCGAGUGUUUCUCUCUCGGAACGUGAAGUUAUUACAUCUCAGACUGACCCGCUCACUUGAUACGCUUUCUUAUGGGAAUAAUUUGAGCUCAGAUUUCCUCAUAUUUAAUUAUAGUUUUCAUUGGAGAAAAGUAAUAUCUACUAAUCUUAAGGGAUCAUGCGUUCCUAGAAACCCUCAACUACUUUCGUUCACAAAAAAAUACCUCAAAUACUUUGCACUUUAAAUCAAGCUGUCCACUUACCAUUGGCUUUGUCGAAAGCAUACUAGAAAUAUUUCUAUAUUGGGUAAGGGACAAAGGUACUACAUGUAUAACCUUUGUUUUAAAGUACGCACCAAACUCAUGUCUAUAUGCAACUUCCAUCUUUCUCAACCACUUUUGUGUAUAAUGCGGAUAUGACACAAUGAAGUCAGAAUCCAGAAAUCAUGACACAGAGAACAAACCAAUGAAAGCUCACGGAAUCAGGGUAUAACAUGAAAAAGUUUCUCAUCACCA